rnacentral:rRNA from 1 species
UUGACCCUAGCAAGACUACCAAAAGCGAAAGCAGUUGGCUAGGCUAUACUCUUUGUGAUUAUAUUUUAUGCACACACACGCAGCAUACGCACACACACACACUCACGCACAUACUGUGUUCCCGUGGCUUAAAUAUAUAUACACUUUACAAUGAAGAACGAAGGUUGGGGGAUCAAAGAGGAUCAGAUACCCUCGUCGUCCCAUUAAUUACAUCAAACGAUGGGCUCUCAAUUGCAUUUUCUCGUAAAUUGCAAAUUUCCUCAGCCUACAAAAUGAAUUGGCUUGAGCUCGUAUUAUUCGUAAUACGCUCGCCUCACUAUUUUCGUACGGUCUCGAUGGACGUUUCAUUUAUAUUUUUUUGCGUGUAAGCAUUAUGUUAUUCUUUGAAACAUAAGAAUGCAUUGCGUGCACUUGAUUUUCGGAGCUUUGCGCUCAAUUCUGGUGAGAUGUAAGCACUAUGUCAUACUGCCCGCAGCGUAUGCCUUCGGGCAUUUCGUUCUGUCGUGUGUAGUUGACAAUUUUGGUGUGAAGCACGCUUUAGGCACGCGCUUACUGCAGAAAUGUCUGAGACAUUCCCUUCCGGGGGUAGUAUGCACGCAAGUGUGAAACUUGAAGGAAUUGACGGAAGGGCACCACAAGAACGCGUGGAGCAUGUGGCUUAAUUU